rnacentral:SRP_RNA from 2 species
GCCGGGCAUGCUGGCUCAUGCCUGUAAUCCCAGCACUUUGGGAGGCCGAGGCAGGUGGAUCACCUGAGGUCAGGAGUUCAAGACCAGCCUGACCAACAUGGUGAAACUCUGUCUCUA